CGGUCUAUCUUUGUUUAGACUGAUAUUUAUUUAAUUAUCACUGGGCAAAGUGGAUCUUG
rnacentral:pre_miRNA from 1 species